CCUACGGGUGGCAGCAGUGAGGAAUAUUGGUCAAUGGGCGCGAGCCUGAACCAGCCAAGUAGCGUGAAGGAUGACUGCCCUACGGGUUGUAAACUUCUUUUAUAAAGGAAUAAAGUGAGGCACGUGUGCCUUAUUGUAUGUACUUUAUGAAUAAGGAUCGGCUAACUCCGUGCCAGCAGCCGCGGUAAUACGGAGGGUCCGAGCGUUAUACGGUUUUAUUGGGUUUAAAGGGAGCGUAGAUGGGUUGUUAAGUCAGUGGUGAAAGUUUGCGGCUCAACCGUAAAAUUGCAAUUGAUACUGGCAGUCUUGAGUACAGUUGAGAUAGGCGGAAUUCGUGGUGUAGCGGGGAAAUGCUUAGAAAUCACACGGAACACCGA
rnacentral:rRNA from 1 species